GCUUAUUAAUAAAGUUUUUUAGUUUUUCCUAAUUAAAAGUUAAUAUUUAAUCUAUAUGAUUUAAGUAUAAAAUUAUAGGCCUUUUUUGCUCCUGACAAUAGACUAAAAAAGUGUAGCAAAUGCCCUAUCAACUAUUGAUGGUAGUAUCUAGGACUACCAUAGCUGCAACGGGUAACGGGGAAUCAGGGUUCGAUUUCGGAG
rnacentral:ncRNA from 1 species